CUGUGCUAGGGAGCCGGGGUGCUGUACUUGAGCAGAUUGCGAAAACGCAGAUAGGAGGAACAGAGUAAUAUUACUUCCCUUUUCGUUAAGAAACAAGAAUGUCGUCGACAGGAAGAAUUACGCAGCUUGUGAGGAACUUCAUGACUUCCACUGCAAGGAGAGGUGGCCAUGCCCAUGAUGAAGGUGGUGUGCCUGGAAGAAAUCUACCGUUCAGCCUGUCAAACCCAUACAAAUUGACCUUAUUGUAUAUAUUAUUCUUCGGUUCUGGCUUUGCAGCACCCUUUUUGGUUGUAAGGUAUCAACUACUGAAGAAGUAGUAACAUUUCAGGGAUGCUAAUUAGUUGCUUACAGUAUGUUUGGUAAUGUGGAACACAGUGUGAACAAUGUGAGCACAGUAUGAACAAUGCUAUUUAAAUAGAUGUAUAUACUUGUCAUAAACAAUAAACGUAUUGUAUUAUG